rnacentral:rRNA from 1 species
AUUGAACGCUGGCGGCAGGCCUAACACAUGCAAGUCGAGCGGAUGAAGGGAGCUUGCUCCUGGAUUCAGCGGCGGACGGGUGAGUAAUGCCUAGGAAUCUGCCUGGUAGUGGGGGAUAACGUCCGGAAACGGGCGCUAAUACCGCAUACGUCCUGAGGGAGAAAGUGGGGGAUCUUCGGACCUCACGCUGUCAGAUGAGCCUAGGUCGGAUUAGCUAGUUGGUGGGGUAAAGGCCUACCAAGGCGACGAUCCGUAACUGGUCUGAGAGGAUGAUCAGUCACACUGGAACUGAGACACGGUCCAGACUCCUACGGGAGGCAGCAGUGGGGAAUAUUGGACAAUGGGCGAAAGCCUGAUCCAGCCAUGCCGCGUGUGUGAAGAAGGUCUUCGGAUUGUAAAGCACUUUAAGUUGGGAGGAAGGGCAGUAAGUUAAUACCUUGCUGUUUUGACGUUACCAACAGGAUAAGCACCGGCUAACUUCGUG